CAAAGACAAUAAAAUCCAAGUUAACUUCCUGUUCUUGUAAUGAUAUCGAUUCCAGUUUCAGUUCUCUUAAUAUCCCAUCUACACUGCUUCUUUUUCUAAGACAUGGCGGAUAGUUACUGGAGAUACGUCGGCGACUCACGGCAGGCGGCGGCGCCAGCCGCAGCCGCAACCGCAGUCUAUGCCUUCUCUCACUGGAAAACGCCCUCGCUCCGAUUACGAUGUACCCAGUGGCCGUGACCUAUCCAGUUAUUAUUCCCGUGAUGAUGAUAGAGGAGCUCUUCGUGUAAUUAGAGAUUCGGACUCCAUUGGAGCAUCCUAUGACCGUUACUUGCAUAGUGGGACAAUUUCAUCUUACAGUGGGGGACAGUCUGCAAGAGCUGUAAGUGGGGUGCCUGUUCGUCCUGUUGAUGAUAUGCGCAUGGUAAGUAUGGGAUCCAUGGACUCAGGGUCUAGUGUAAAAGACAGGUCAAUGCGAACAGGAAGUGGAAGAUCUGAGAUUUCCCUUCCGCCUGACGCUAGCAGCACACUUUUUGUGGAGGGCUUGCCUUCUGACUGUACACGUCGGGAAGUUUCCCAUAUCUUUCGCCCUUUUGUUGGCUACAAAGAAGUGAGACUUGUAAGCAAGGAAUCAAGACAUCCUGGGGGAGAUCCGUUGGUACUCUGUUUUGUUGACUUUUUGAGUCCUGCACAUGCUGCCACUUCCAUGGAUGCAUUGCAAGAGUCCAACCACUGCAAUUCUAGCACUUCAUCACCUCUGUUCAAGUCCGAGGCUGCCUGCCUUGUAUGUAAAUUAUUCUUCAUUUCAGGAACAAAUAUUUCUACGCUGGAAACAGACUGAUGGGCAAACUCGUUGAUGAAUAUGAUCAAGGAGAAUCGAAUCUAUGGAGAUUGCACACAUUUAGCUAAACAAGUGGGUGACUAUUGAAACAACAAUCAUAUCGUCAGCAAACGAUUGCACACAGAAUCAAUCAAGAACUUGCACCCGACAAAGAGAGCACUAGAGAAUCAUUUAAUGGUCAGACUACUAGUUUUAACCAGUUGAACCUCUUCUUAACUACCCUAGCUUGCAGUGGUGGGUGGUUAAACAUUUAGGGUUCGUUUUUAAAGCGGCCAACCACGCGGCUGGUCGCCUUAACAAACACAACUUUAUUGGAGGUUCAGCAUCGCGGUUGCAAGAUAUGAUCUUGUGAGUUUUUCUUGUUUGUUUUCCACUGUCUGAAUUCUAGACAACCAAUCUGGCUGAUAGAGUGAUAGGAACUCUUGUUUUAUCAAUGUAGCAAAUAUUUACAACGGAUGGUAGUAAACUGGAAUCAUGCCUGACAACUUUUAAUAGUUUAGGGCAGGGGCUUCAAGCUAACACAAUCUCCUCGUUAAAGGAGAACUGCAGCAACCAGUUCUGCAUGUAUAAAUUCUUCACAAUCAGAAUGUUCAUUAAAGCAGUGGUUUAAAUUUUCUAAGAUCUCUAUUGCUCACAGACGAAUAUAUCAUCUACAGAUGCAAGUGAAAUGUUAGAGCUUUUGAUGAAUUUUAUAUGAGAUCGAGAAUGGAUGGGAACUACUGCUGUAUCCUUCUAUACUUGCUUGUCAAUUUUGUAACUGGAAACCUGUCCAAAAAAUUCAUAGGUUUAACUUGUCGAUCUGUUGCACAAGCAACUUCAGAAAAAUAUAAAAUUCAGGGUUAGGCUGGCUGGUUUUGUUUGUGGCAGUACGAAAUGACAGUGUACAAUUGGUAGCUAAAUACUGUUCUAAUUAACUCUUAAUCUGAAUAAUUUGGAUGAACUUUUUUCCCAUGCAAUAUGAGGCUGCAGCCCCUUGAACUUCCAGGAAUUCAGCUAAAAAAUUUCUGAAUUUGCUGCAAGCUGCGUCUAUGAGGAGAGCAGACGUGCUAAGGAGAUAGAAGUUGAGGCUAGCUUGUUUGGAGUCUGGAAAAAUGGAAAAACAUGGCUUAAUAAUUAUCCAUAUCAGCAAGCAUGCCUCAUCAGUAAUGGGGUAAAAUUUUCCUGAUAGCCUUCAAGUUGAUAUCCCAUGAAUAUGACGAUGUGCUGCUCAUCUCUAGAGACAAGCUGAAACUUUCAAUGAGUCUUCCAUCUUUGAGAGUUAAGAUCAUCCCUUCUUUGAUGUUUAAAAAAUUAAAAUUGGAUGAAUAAAAAGUUCCCGUGAUUUACUGAGAAAGAUAUUUAAUAAAUAGACAAACGGAUCAUUAUAUUAUAAUUACAACGAAAGCCAAAAGAUGGUGAUCUUUUGCGCAGUGAAUUCACCGGCGGUCCCGUAAUUAUCGUCAACUUUGUUGAUUCUCUGAUUUUUUUCCUCUGUCAAGCAAGUCUUCAGCUGGUCCAGAUCUAUUCUCCUUGGUCUCAAAGAGAGCGUGGUGAGGAUAUGGGAACUAAUCAUUCGUAGGUUUUAAUCUCAGGGAAAACACAUAUGGUUCAAUGUAUCUGGAGCGGAGAAAGUGGCGACAGUGGCUCUCUGCUAUGCUCUAUGCCGUUCCUCUUAGGCAGCAUAGAGGCCAGUUGAUGGUUGCCAGCAGAUCAGAGUGGUGGCUAUCACCAAGGCCAGACCAGUUUCACUAAUUAGACAAGUCACCGAUAUGGGUAGCCGUUGUUUUGGCAAGAACUACCCGCCGGAAUUCAAAGAAAAAGCACCCCAGUUUUCAAAGGAUAUCGAGUGGGAUUUCUUAGGCAAUUUAUAGAGUAAUCAAGUUAAAUCUCUACUAGGUAUUGUUCUUUUGCCUUCUUCGUUGGUUUAGAAAUCGUGGUAUAAACUAAAAAGCAAUUAUAUCCAUUCAUUAAUUCUCUAGAACUUGGCCUACUGGUUUUCCAGAAAGGAGAACAAGCCAAAACUACAUGUCGUUCAAGCUUUAAAUUAUUUAACUUUUGGAUUUUUAACCAUUCUUGCUUGAGUAAUUGUUGGUCAGCAGUGAUUGGAUUUGUUUUUAUGAUUACCUAUGUUUAAUUUGUUC